UAUGUGAUCGUCUCUCGCAUAUCAAUAAGCGGAGGAAAAGAAACUAACAAGGAUUCCCCUAGUAACGGCGAGUGAAGCGGGAAGAGCUCAAAUUUGAAAUCUUAAAGGGUCUCCCUUUACGAAUUGUAGUUUAAAGAAGUGUUUUCUGUUGAGGUUUUGGUAAAAGUUCUUUGGAAUAGGACAUCAUAGAGGGUGAGAAUCCCGUAUUUGACCUUUACUUUCAACUUUGUGAUACACUUUCAAAGAGUCGGAUUGUUUGGGAAUGCAGUCCAAAAUGGGUGGUAAAUUUCAUCUAAAGCUAAAUAUUGGCGAGAGACCGAUAGCGAACAAGUACCGUGAGGGAAAGAUGAAAAGAACUUUGAAAAGAGAGUUAAACAGUACGUGAAAUUGUCAAAAGGGAAGCGUUUGACACCAGUGUUGUUUUUCUGAAAAUCAAUUAAAGAACUGUUUAUGCUAAGUUGUUUAGACUUUAUCAGCUAACUGUUUAGUUUUGAGCUUUUCUUUAAUGCACUUUUCAGUUAACAAGUCAACAUCAAUUUCUUUUGCUGUAAAAAAGCUUGAGGAAGGUGGCUUGAGAUUCGUCUUAAGUGUUUAUAGCCUCUUGCCUAUGCAGUCGGAGAGAUUGAGGUCUGCAGCGUAGAUCCUUCGGGGCUAAAUGCAUUUGUGCUAAGUUAUAGCAUUUUAUAGACAACUUGUUGACUAUGAUUUGUCUUGUAGCUUACUCGCUUAUGUUAUUUUACCUACGCUUAGGAUGUUGACACACGCGCGUGCUCG
rnacentral:rRNA from 1 species